rnacentral:tRNA from 1 species
GUGGCGUAGCGGUCCAACGCAUCUCCGUAUCAAGGUGACAGUCGCGGGUUCGAAUCCCGCC